rnacentral:rRNA from 1 species
AUUGAACGCUGGCGGCAUGCUUUACACAUGCAAGUCGAACGGUAACAGGCCGCAAGGUGCUGACGAGUGGCGAACGGGUGAGUAAUGCAUCGGAACGUGCCCAGUCGUGGGGGAUAACGCAGCGAAAGCUGUGCUAAUACCGCAUACGAUCUAUGGAUGAAAGCGGGGGACCGUAAGGCCUCGCGCGAUUGGAGCGGCCGAUGUCAGAUUAGGUAGUUGGUGGGGUAAAGGCCCACCAAGCCAACGAUCUGUAGCUGGUCUGAGAGGACGACCAGCCACGCUGGGACGGAGACACGGCCCAGACUCCUACGGGAGGCAGCAGUGGGGAAUUUUGGACAAUGGGCGCAAGCCUGAUCCAGCAAUGCCGCGUGCAGGAAGAAGGCCUUCGGGUUGUAAACUGCUUUUGUACGGAACGAAACGGUCUGGGUUAAUACCUCGGGCUAAUGACGGUACCGUAAGAAUAAGCACCGGCUAACUACGUGCCAGCCGCCGCAGUAAUAC